GGAGGAGCACACGACAUAGAUCGCCUUGAGAAUACAGAAUGGUGUACAUGUCAAAACUGUGUGAACAUGGAGACAGUGGCUGAGUGUGUCUGCUGUAGUGAAAUAGAGGCAGUGACCAGAACGAUGGAGGAGGAGGGGGUGAAGACGUGCAUCAUAGACCACCAUGGCUUUCCAUCUGUGUGUCUGGAUGAAUGGGUGCUGCAGACAGCGUAUAACGCCUACAAACAGCAAUAUGGCAUGCUGCAGCAACAGCAAAAUGAGCGGAGACGACACACAGCCUAUCGACAGUUUGUCCGCUUCUGCUGGGGAUAUCUGGGAAAGGACAUAAGGGUGGUACUACCAGCUUGUGUAGUACAUAAGAUUAGGACAACAUUCCCAUCGAUGGACUACACGGGGUUCCAAGACGUGCAGUGACUGCAACAGAAUCUACAUGGCCACUGUACUUAAUCAAUAAAAUCAAUCAAUCAAUCAAUCAGUCAAUCAAUCAAUGUUUAUUUAUAUAGCACUAAAUCACAAAUGUCUCAAAGGGCUGUACAAGCCACAACGACAUCCUCGGUACAGAGCCCACACACGGGCAAGGAAAACUCACCCCAGUAGGACGUCGAUGUGAAUGACUAUGAGAAACCUUGGAGAGGACCGCAUAUGUGGGUAACCCCCCCCCUCUAGGGGAGACCGAAAGCAAUGGAUGUCGAGUGGGUCUAACAUAUUAGUGAGGGUCCAGUGGAGCCAGCAGGAGGCCACCCCGAGCGGAGACGGGUCAGCAGCGCAGAUGUCCCCAACCGAUGCACAGGCGAGCGGUAUACCCCGGGUCCCAACUCUGGACAGCCAGCACUUUAUCCAUGGUCACCGGAAUAACCCCUCCACGUGGGGGGGGGGGCAGAGGAGAAAAGAAAAGAAACGGCAGAUCAACUGGUCUAAAAAGGGGGUCUAUUUAAAGGCUAGAGUAUACAAAUGAGUUUUAAGAUGGGACUUAAAUGCUUCUACUGAGGUAGCAUCUCUAACUGUUACCGGGAGGGCAUUUCACACUUACCGAAGCGACUCCUGUGCUUGGCGAUGGCUUCCUCCUUGUCUGGCUUCUCCAGUUCAUCGCAGAGGAAGGGAGGCACAUCCACAGUGACGCUGAGUGGUGUUCUCUCGUCAGGGGUCUGUCUGCAGCCAGCAACAACCUCCCUGAUCAAGUCAUCUACGUAGCCUGCAAAAUACAAUUGUACAUGUUCCUGCUCACAACAUAAUAUACUCAUGGAGAGUGAAACUUGACAGUAUUAUUAUCAUGAUACAAAGUGUCAAGUGUUUACAUGUUUUGUGUCCUCUACACUUACGGUAUGUUGGCUCUGUCGCGAUUUUCUUGACCACAUGGCCCCCUGCUUUAUACUUCGGGUAGCGUACUGCAUAGCGCUCAGCACCCGCUUGUGUAGUGGCUAUAGGGCGGCUCGAAUUUUCGUUCCAGUGCAGCCCAGCAAGCAGGUUCCUAGGUGUGGUAACAGAAUAAUGUAAUAAUUAGUACUAAAGUAUGGCACACACUAGUGACACUUAGAUUAGUGUGGAAACAUACCUGCACAGCAUUCCGAUGUAUGAGAAGACAUACAUUUUCGGUGCGAACUGUAUAAGAUAAAAGACACUUUAUUCAGUCAUGCGUCCAUACAAUGUGUGUGUAAAUUUAUAAAUUGUUUGUAAAUUUGAAUACAAAUGUUUGUGUAUUAAACUGUUAAUAGUCAGCUAUUAAAGCUUGAUCUCCUGCAGUAAUGAAGCUGUUUUGUUUUCAAUGUUAACACCACGCCAGAAUUGUUUGCAAUCUUUCUCACCAAGAUGCCAGCCACUAUGUUGGACCUCCAACAUUCUCUUGCUUACACUGACUGUAU